GCCGGGCAUGGUGGCGGGUGCCUGUAGUCCCAGCUACUUGGGAGGCUGAGGCAGGAGAAUCGCUUGAACCCGGGAGGCGGAGGUUGCAGAGAGCCGAGAUUGCGCCACUGCACUCCAGCCUGGGUGACAGGGCGAGACUCUGUCUCAA
ensembl:misc_RNA Metazoa_SRP Metazoan signal recognition particle RNA